GAGGAAAGAGGGGGGCGUGCCUAAUACAUGCAAGUCGAGCGAACAGACGAGGAGCUUGCUCCUCUGACGUUAGCGGCGGACGGGUGAGUAACACGUGGAUAACCUACCUAUAAGACUGGGAUAACUUCGGGAAACCGGAGCUAAUACCGGAUAAUAUAUUGAACCGCAUGGUUCAAUAGUGAAAGACGGUUUUGCUGUCACUUAUAGAUGGAUCCGCGCCGCAUUAGCUAGUUGGUAAGGUAACGGCUUACCAAGGCGACGAUGCGUAGCCGACCUGAGAGGGUGAUCGGCCACACUGGAACUGAGACACGGUCCAGACUCCUACGGGAGGCAGCAGUAGGGAAUCUUCCGCAAUGGGCGAAAGCCUGACGGAGCAACGCCGCGUGAGUGAUGAAGGUCUUCGGAUCGUAAAACUCUGUUAUUAGGGAAGAACAAAUGUGUAAGUAACUAUGCACGUCUUGACGGUACCUAAUCAGAAAGCCACGGCUAACUACGUG
rnacentral:rRNA from 1 species